rnacentral:miRNA from 1 species
UAGUGUUAUUGUUUAGUUUUGUUUCUGCUGAUUCCCUGAGACCCUAACUUGUGACUAUAGUUGAAGUUUCACAAGUUUUGAUCUCCGGUAUUAGCGGUCGAGAUUCAUCG